rnacentral:misc_RNA from 1 species
AGGAAAGCUCAGGAGAGGCAGCCUACUCUUGGUGAGAUGACACUGGAGGAUUUUUUGGUUAAGGCUGGAGUGGUUGCUGAGUCGACUCCGGGGAAGAAAAGUUUGGGGUCAGUUUUAGGGGUUGAUUCAAUGGCAUUGCCUCAACAGCAAGCUCAAUGGUCACAAUAUCAGAUGCAGGCAAUGCAUCCGCUACCGCCACAACAACAUCAACAACAACAACAGAACAUGCUUCCAGUUUUUAUGCCCAGCCAUUCGGCUCAACAACCUUUGACUAUUGUUUCCAACCCAACAAUAGAUGCAGCUUAUCCUGAAUCUCAGAUGACAAUGUCCCCAACAGCUUU